UCUCAGAGAUGAGACUGUGCCUUCGGGAACCGUGAGACAGGUGCUGCAUGGCUGUCGUCAGCUCGUGUUGUGAAAUGUUGGGUUAAGUCCCGCAACGAGCGCAACCCUUAUCCUUUGUUGCCAGCGGUUAGGCCGGGAACUCAAAGGAGACUGCCAGUGAUAAACUGGAGGAAGGUGGGGAUGACGUCAAGUCAUCAUGGCCCUUACGACCAGGGCUACACACGUGCUACAAUGGCGCAUACAAAGAGAAGCGACCUCGCGAGAGCAAGCGGACCUCAUAAAGUGCGUCGUAGUCCGGAUUGGAGUCUGCAACUCGACUCCAUGAAGUCGGAAUCGCUAGUAAUCGUGGAUCAGAAUGCCACGGUGAAUACGUUCCCGGGCCUUGUACACACCGCCCGUCACACCAUGGGAGUGGGUUGCAAAAGAAGUAGGUAGCUUAACCUUCGGGAGGGCGCUUACCACUUUGUGAUUCAUGACUGGGGUGAAGUCGUAACAAGGUAACCGUAGGGGAACCUGCGGUUGGAUCACCUCCUUACCAGAAAGAA
rnacentral:rRNA from 1 species